GGUGAGUAACACGUGAGCAACCUGCCCCUGACUCUGGGAUAAGCGGUGGAAACGCCGUCUAAUACCGGAUACGACCUUCCGCCUCAUGGUGGAGGGUGGAAAGUUUUUUCGGUCAGGGAUGGGCUCGCGGCCUAUCAGCUUGUUGGUGGGGUAACGGCCUACCAAGGCGAUUACGGGUAGCCGGCCUGAGAGGGCGACCGGCCACACUGGGACUGAGACACGGCCCAGACUCCUGCGGGAGGCAGCAGUGGGGAAUAUUGCGCAAUGGGCGAAAGCCUGACGCAGCGACGCCGCGUGGGGGAUGACGGCCUUCGGGUUGUAAACCUCUUUUACCACCAACGCAGGCUCCGGGUUCUCUCGGGGUUGACGGUAGGUGGGGAAUAAGGACCGGCUAACUACGUGCCAGCAGCCGCGGUAAUACGUAGGGUCCGAGCGUUGUCCGGAAUUAUUGGGCGUAAAGAGCUCGUAGGCGGCGUGUCGCGUCUGCUGU
rnacentral:rRNA from 1 species